UGGGGAAUAUUGGACAAUGGGGGAAACCCUGAUCCAGCAAUGCCGCGUGAGUGAUGAAGGCCUUCGGGUCGUAAAGCUCUUUUACCAGGGAUGAUAAUGACAGUACCUGGAGAAUAAGCUCCGGCUAACCCCGUGCCAGCAGCCGCGAUAAUACGGAGGGAGCUAGCGUUGUUCGGAAUUACUGGGCGUAAAGCGCACGUAGGCGGUUACUCAAGUCAGAGGUGAAAGCCCGGGGCUCAACCCCGGAACUGCCUUUGAAACUAGGUGACUUGAAUCUUGGAGAGGCGAGUGGAAUUCCGAGUGUAGAGGUGAAAUUCGUAGAUAUUCGGAAGAACACCAGUGGCGAAGGCGACUCGCUGGACAAGUAUUGACGCUGAGGUGCGAAAGCGUGGGGAGCAAAACAGGAUUAGAUACCCUGGUAGUCCACGCCGUAAACGAUGAUAACUAGCUGUCCGGUCACUUGGUGACUGGGUGGCGCAGCUAACGCAUUAAGUUAUCCGCCUGGGGAGUACGGUCGCAAGAUUAAAACUCAAAUGAAUUGACGGGGUCAUAGCUGUUUCCU
rnacentral:rRNA from 1 species